AACGAACGCUGGCGGCAUGCCUAACACAUGCAAGUCGAACGAGACCUUCGGGUCUAGUGGCGCACGGGUGCGUAACGCGUGGGAACCUGCCCUUAGGUUCGGAAUAACUCCCCGAAAGGGGUGCUAAUACCGGAUAAUGUCUUCGGACCAAAGAUUUAUCGCCUUUGGAUGGGCCCGCGUUGGAUUAGCUAGUUGGUAGGGUAAAAGCCUACCAAGGCGUCGAUACAUAGCUGGGCUGAGAGGAUGAUCAGCCACACUGGGACUGAGACACGGCCCGGACUCUUACGGGAAGGAGGAGAGGGGAAUAUUGGACAAUGGGGGAAAGGCUGAUCCAGCAAUGCCGCGUGAGUGAUGAAGGCCUUAGGGUUGUAAAGCUCUUUUACCCGGGAUGAUAAUGACAGUACCGGGAGAAUAAGCUCCGGCUAACUCCGUG
rnacentral:rRNA from 1 species